rnacentral:rRNA from 1 species
GAUGAACGCUAGCGGCAGGCCUAAUACAUGCAAGUCGAACGGUGUAGCAAUACACAGUGGCGCACGGGUGCGUAACACGUAUGCAACCUACCUUACAUUGGGGGAUAGCCUUUCGAAAGGGAGAUUAAUACCGCAUAAGACAGUAACUAGGCAUCUAGUAGCUGUUAAAGAUUUAUCGAUGUAAGCUGGGCAUGCGUCCAAUUAGUUAGUUGGAGAGGUAAUGGCUCACCAAGACGAUGAUUGGUAGGGGAACUGAGAGGUCAAUCCCCCCCACUGGCACUGAGAUACGGGCCAGACUCCUACGGGAGGCAGCAGUAGGGAAUAUUGGGCAAUGGGCGCAAGCCUGACCCAGCCAUGCCGCGUGCAGGAAGAAGGCGUUAUGCGUUGUAAACUGCUUUUAUACAGGAAGAAACGACCCUUGCGAGGGGCAUUGACGGUACUGUAUGAAUAAGCACCGGCUAACUCCGUGCCAGCCGCCGCCGUAACAC